AGUACACUCAGUUACAUUUUCAGGGCAUCCUUAUCUUCCCACCAGGUGCUGGUAUAUUAAACAAGGCACAGUGCCUCUCAAAGAAAUGUAGCAGUAAUGGUGGAUUGCAACCAGAAGCCACAGAGGCAGAUCUGGAAAGGAAGGGGUACUCUUCUGAUCCUGAAAUCCUUUCCUGUAGCUACACCUGGACUCUGGCUCCCACUAAGGACACUAAUGCUUUCCAUGAGCAACCACAGAUGACUCAGCACAGAUGAGGACAUCAAACUUGUCCACCAUCCGCUCAAGAAUGGCACAUCAAUUGAGGAAGUGUCCAGGGCAGAUACAAAGUACAGUUUGGAGGCCAAAGUUGAUCAAUGAUGAGUUGAUCCUGAAUAUGGCAGUCGGAAUGGAGAGAUGGAUAAAUUUAAGAGCUAUGUGUGCAUUAAUGUGGACAGGAUUUAGAAGUGGAGAAGAUACUGAAGAUGAGGACAAGAAAAGUGGAAAGGAUCACGCUUAGUUUAUACUUUGUGGACUGUGACAAGUGAUUAUUGCCAUGAGACCAGCUUUGGUUUCUGCCAUAUUGGCCAACCUAGUUCUCCAUCCUGUAUGCACAUUAUAAUCACCUAAUUUUUU